rnacentral:rRNA from 1 species
AGCGAACGCUGGCGGCAGGCUUAACACAUGCAAGUCGAACGGGCGUAGCAAUACGUCAGUGGCAGACGGGUGAGUAACGCGUGGGAACGUACCUUUGGUUCGGAACAACCCAGGGAAACUUGGGCUAAUACCGGAUAAGCCCUUACGGGGAAAGAUUUAUCGCCGAAAGAUCGGCCCGCGUCUGAUUGGCUAGUUGGUGUGGUAACGGCGCACCAAGGCGACGAUCAGUAGCUGGUCUGAGAGGAUGAUCAGCCACAUUGGGACUGAGACACGGCCAAACUCCUACGGGAGGCAGCAGUGGGGAAUAUUGGACAAUGGGCGCAAGCCUGAUCCAGCCAUGCCGCGUGAGUGAUGAAGGCCCUAGGGUUGUAAAGCUCUUUUGUGCGGGAAGAUAAUGACGGUA